GCCAAUCACACACCGUCUCCCACCACCUCUGUCAACAGUAUAGUAGCCAAUCACACACCGUCUCCCACCACCUCUGUCAAUAGUAUAGUAGCCAAUCACACACCGUCCCCCACUGAUAUCAGGGGUGACAUUGAGGGGUGAUAGGUCUGAUAUCAGGAGUAAUAUUAGGGAGGGGGGAUAGGUCUGAUAUCAGGGGCUAAUAUGGAGGUACCUGUAGCUCAUACAAGACAUGGAGGCAUAGAGUUGAAUAAAGGGCACAUAUCAAUGUUUCUGCCCAAGUUAAAACAGGGUUUGUGGCAAGUCUCUGUCCAACUCGUGUUUAUAUUGAGGUAUUUUGCAGCUGUAUUGGUCAUCACCAGCAUUUUUAUCGGUCCUUCUGUAGCUCAGUUGGUAGAGCAUGGCGCUUGUAACGCCAGGGUAGUGGGUUCGAUCCCCGGGACCACCCAUACGUAGAAUGUAUGCACACAUGACUGUAAGUCGCUUUGGAUAAAAGCGUCUGCUAAAUGGCAUAUAUUAUUAUAUUAUCAGAGUCACCUCACUUGUAAAUUAACAAAUUAAUGAAAGUGUGGCUUUGUUUUUCAAAUCUG